rnacentral:lncRNA from 1 species
UGUGGAGUAUUGUUCAACAGAAUUACAAGUCUCUCCAAUGGCUAAUUCUGGCAAAUCAUUUUGGACAAGCUUAUCAUUUCAAGAGGAGUCUUCAGGUGACAGAUUGGUAUAAACCAUUUCAGGAAUUACUUUCGGAAUUUCACUUAAUAAACGUGACUGUUCUGAUGGAGAUUCAUGCUUCUGUUUUUGGUCCAUGUAUUGAGCAAGU